UGGGAACGUACCCUUUGGUUCGGAACAACCCAGGGAAACUUGGGCUAAUACCGGAUACGUCCGUAAGGAGAAAGAUUUAUCGCCAAAGGAUCGGCCCGCGUCUGAUUAGCUAGUUGGUGGGGUAAUGGCCACCAAGGCUACGAUCGGUAGCUGGUCUGAGAGGAUGACCAGCCACACUGGGACUGAGACACGGCCCAGACUCCUACGGGAGGCAG
rnacentral:rRNA from 1 species